rnacentral:rRNA from 1 species
UACAGAGGUGGCAAGCGUUGUUCGGAAUUACUGGGCGUAAAGGGCGCGUAGGCGGUCAGGUCAGUCCCGUGUGAAAUCCCUCGGCUCAACUGAGGAACUGCACGGGAAACUACCUGGCUUGAGUUCGGGAGAGGGAAGCGGAAUUCCGGGUGUAGCGGUGAAAUGCGUAGAUAUCUGGAGGAACACCGGUGGCGAAGGCGGCAUCCUGGACCGGCAUUGACGCUGAGGCGCGAAAGCGUGGGGAGCGAACAGG